rnacentral:pre_miRNA from 1 species
UUAAGAGAUUUGAAUACUUCAACUUGUAUACUUGAAGAAUUUGAAGAUUUCAACUUGCAUACUUGGAGAAUUUAAAGACUUCAUCU